rnacentral:rRNA from 1 species
AACUCCGUGCCAGCAGCCGCGGUAAUACGGAGGGUGCGAGCGUUAUCCGGAUUUAUUGGGUUUAAAGGGUCCGUAGGCGGAUUAAUAAGUCAGUGGUGAAAUCCCAUCGCUUAACGAUGGAACUGCCAUUGAUACUGUUAGUCUUGAAUGAGGGUGCAGUGGUUGGAAUGUGUAGUGUAGCGGUGAAAUGCAUAGAUAUUACACAGAACACCGAUUUGCGAAGGCAGAUCACUAACCCUAAAUUGACGCUGAGGGACGAAAGCGUGGGGAGCGAACAGGAUUAGAUACCCUGGUAG